AUUGAACGCUGGCGGCAGGCCUAACACAUGCAAGUCGAACGAGUGGCGGACGGGUGAGUAAUGUCUGGGAAACUGCCUGAUGGAGGGGGAUAACUACUGGAAACGGUAGCUAAUACCGCAUACAAACAGAUAUGCCCAGAUGUGAUUAGCGAGUUGGUGGGGUAACGUCGCACCAAGGCGACGAUCCCUAGCUGGUCUGAGAGGAUGACCCGCCACAGUGGAACUGAGACACGGUCCAGACUCCUACGGGGGGCAGCAGUGGUUAAUAUUGCACAAUGCGCGCAAGCCUGAUGCAGCCAUGCCGCGUGUAUGAAGAAGCACUUCAGGUUGUAAAGUACUUUCAGCGGGGAGGCGUUACCCGCAGAAGAAGCACCGGCUAACUCCGUGCCAGCAGCCGCGGUAAUAC
rnacentral:rRNA from 1 species